CAUGCAGCCAUAGGUCCUAAUGCAUGCAGCCAUAGGCCCUAAUACAUGCAGCCAUAGGUCCUAAUACAUGCAGCCAUAGGCCCUAAUACAUGCAGCCAUAGGCCCUAAUACAUGCAGCCAUAGGUCCUAAUACAUGCAGCCAUAGGUCCUAAUACAUGCAGCCAUAGGUCCUAAUGCAUGCAGCCAUAGGCCCUAAUGCAUGCAGCCAUAGGCCCUAAUGCAUGCAGCCAUAGGCCCUAAUGCAUGCAGCCAUAGGCCCUAAUGCAUGCAGCCAUAGGCCCUAAUACAUGCAGCCAUAGGCCCUAAUGCAUGCAGCCAUAGGUCCUAAUACAUGCAGCCAUAGGUCCUAAUGCAUGCAGCCAUAGGCCCUAAUGCAUGCAGCCAUAGGCCCUAAUGCAUGCAGCCAUAGGCCCUAAUGCAUGCAGCCAUAGGCCCUAAUACAUGCAGCCAUAGGCCCUAAUGCAUGCAGCCAUAGGUCCUAAUGCAUGCAGCCAGCCAUAGGCCCUAAUGCAUGCAGCCAUAGGCCCUAAUACAUGCAGCCA